GAAUCUCACUAAUUUAUUUUUGUACGCUUACUUUUAUUCAUUGUUUUAGUUAAUUAAUCAAUCAAAUCUCAUCAUUCAAUUGUUCAAAUGAAGUCUUUGUUAAUCACAAUAUGUACUUAGUAAUUUAAAUCACUCUUCGUGGGAACGACACUUCACUUAUCACUGUAUUACUUGUGCAAAUUGUGCGCUCACAAUAAUUUCACAACAAGUUUUUGGCGUCACUGCCGGGGAGUGUCUUAAAUUUUAUUUAUAUCGAUAUAGAUUGAUUUGGGUUUUAAUUUGAAUUUUUUUUUUUCAGGUACUUCACCUAGUGCAUGAGUUUUGGGAGACUGUCGCUUACACCAUUAGAUCCAGAGAUCGAGCGAACGCUUCACAAGCUUAACAAACUGAAAAGGGAGAAGGACGCAAUAUUGGAAAAGCCAUCACCUAUGGCUGAGGAACCAAAAGCUGUAAGGGACUAUGAUGUCCUAUCUGUGGUGGCAUCACCAUCGAGCAUUCGUCGUCCAACCAUUGAUGCCAAUAAUUUUGAAAUUAGACCAUCCAUAAUUUCAAUGAUUUAG
rnacentral:lncRNA from 1 species